UGCCUUAAUGUGUCGCCCGUUCAUUGCUCUUUUAUAAUGGAUGUGGUGUCAGCUAAGGCAUACAGCAAAUCUUGGAUCGGCCUUAGAGAGGUUCAAGUUUGGUGACCUUCUCUUAAGUUCUGUACCAAGUAUAGUG